GAGAUGAGAGUAUAUCCAGUUGUUCCUCGUCCCUGUUUGCUUAGAGCCGUUACGUUGUAUGUCAGGGCCGCAGGAUUUUCUACACAGAACUUAUUUUAA